GAUGAACGCUAGCGGCAGGCUUAACACAUGCAAGUCGAGGGGUAACGGGGAAGCUUGCUUCCGCCGACGACCGGCGCACGGGUGCGUAACGCGUAUACAAUCUACCUUGUACUGGGGUAUAGCCUUUAGAAAUGAAGAUUAAUCCCCCAUAGUCUCUUAGAGUGGCAUCACUUCUAGAGUAAAGGUUACGGUAUAAGAUGAGUAUGCGUUCUAUUAGUUUGUUGGUGUGGUAACGGCACACCAAGACUACGAUAGAUAGGGGCCCUGAGAGGGGGAUCCCCCACACUGGUACUGAGACACGGACCAGACUCCUACGGGAGGCAGCAGUGAGGAAUAUUGGACAAUGGAGGCAACUCUGAUCCAGCCAUGCCGCGUGCAGGAAGACUGCCCUAUGGGUUGUAAACUGCUUUUAUACAGGAAGAAACACCUCUACGUGUAGAGGCUUGACGGUACUGUAAGAAUAAGGAUCGGCUAACUCCGUGCCAGCAGCCGCGGUAAUACGGAGGAUCCAAGCGUUAUCCGGAAUCAUUGGGUUUAAAGGGUCCGUAGGUGGAUAAUUAAGUCAGAGGUGAAAUCUUGCAGCUCAACUGUAAAAUUGCCUUUGAAACUGGUUAUCUUGAGUUAUUAUGAAGUAGUUAGAAUAUGUAGUGUAGCGGUGAAAUGCAUAGAUAUUACAUAGAAUACCAAUUGCGAAGGCAGAUUACUAAUAAUCAACUGACACUGAUGGACGAAAGCGUGGGUAGCGAACAGGAUUAGAUACCCUGGUAGUCCACGCCGUAAACGAUGGUUACUAGCUGUUUGGACUUCGGUCUGAGUGGCUAAGCGAAAGUGAUAAGUAACCCACCUGGGGAGUACGUUCGCAAGAAUGAAACUCAAAGGAAUUGACGGGGGCCCGCACAAGCGGUGGAGCAUGUGGUUUAAUUCGAUGAUACGCGAGGAACCUUACCAGGGCUUAAAUGUAAGUUGCAUUAGUUAGAGAUAGCUAUUUCUUCGGACCACUUACAAGGUGCUGCAUGGUUGUCGUCAGCUCGUGCCGUGAGGUGUCAGGUUAAGUCCUAUAACGAGCGCAACCCCUGUUGUUAGUUGCCAGCGAGUCAUGUCGGGAACUCUAACAAGACUGCCAGUGCAAACUGUGAGGAAGGUGGGGAUGACGUCAAAUCAUCACGGCCCUUACGUCCUGGGCUACACACGUGCUACAAUGGUAGGUACAGAGAGCAGCCACUGCGCGAGCAGGAGCGAAUCUAUAAAACCUAUCACAGUUCGGAUCGGAGUCUGCAACUCGACUCCGUGAAGCUGGAAUCGCUAGUAAUCGGAUAUCAGCCAUGAUCCGGUGAAUACGUUCCCGGGCCU
rnacentral:rRNA from 1 species